rnacentral:rRNA from 1 species
AUUGAACGCUGGCGGCAGGCCUAACACAUGCAAGUCGAACGAGUGGCGGACGGGUGAGUAAUGUAUGGGAAACUGCCCGAUGGAGGGGGAUAACUACUGGAAACGGUAGCUAAUACCGCAUACCAUCGGAGGUGCCCAGAUGGGAUUAGCUAGUAGGUGGGGUAACGGCUCACCUAGGCGACUAUCCCUAGCUGGUCUGAGAGGAUGACCCGCCACCCUGGAACUGAGACACGGUCCCGACUCCUACGGGAGGCAGCAGUGGGGAGUAUUGCACAAUGGGCGCUAGCCUGAUGCAGCCAUGCCGCGUGUAUGAAGAAGGCCUUCGGGUUGUAAAGUACUUUCAGCGUGGAGGCGUUACCCGCCGAAGAAGCACCGGCUAACUCCGUGCCAGCAGCCGCGGUAAUUC